CCCUCACAGGUGUCUCCCCAUCGCAGGCUCGAAACGCCCGAGGCGGGAGCUGAAACUCCCGAGCCGACCUCUCGUCUCACGUUUCCAUCAGGCUCGAGAGGGAAAUGAAGGAGGUUGUUCCCCCUUCCCACCUGAAUGAGAAGCUGAAAUUCUGUGUGCUAUCUGAAGACAAGAAGACAGAAUUGGGAAAAUUCAAACCAGGCAACUGGCAGCAAGAUUUGGCAAAUACUGGAAGAAGAUACAGUGAUCAGCUUGGAAGUGUAAGAAGUGGCAGUACAAACCCACUGAGAAGAUCAAGAAGUUUUCCAGGAAAACAUGAAAAGUCAAGAAAUUUCUAAUUCCAACUGAGGCAGGAGGGGAAAUUAGAAAUCAGUUCAGUGUCCCACCUAAAAAAGGACUGUACCCAGAUGAAUGACUGCUGACAAACACAGGUGCUUGUUUGAAAUGACUCCAGGGCCUUGUUUGAGGACAUGCCAUGCACUGCCCAGAGUGAUGGCAUUCCCAGAGGAAUGAGGGGACUUCAUGCAA